CGAUGAGUUACCCCGGGUGUGAAUUAUAACCAAAGCGAUGAGUUACCCCGGGUGUGAAUUAUAACCAAAGCGAUGAGUUACCCCGGGUGUGAAUUAUAACCAAAGCGAUGAGUUACCCCGGGUGUGAAUUAUAACCAAAGCGAUGAGUUACCCCGGGUGUGAAUUAUAACCAAAGCGAUGAGUUACCCCGGGUGUUAAUUAUAACCAAAGCGAUGAGUUACCCCGGGUGUUAAUUAUAACCAAAGCGAUGAGUUACCCCGGGUGUUAAUUAUAACCAAAGCGAUGAGUUACCCCAGGUGUGAAUUAUAACCAAAGCGAUGAGUUACCCCGGGUGUUAAUUAUAACCAAAGCGAUGAGUUACCCCGGGUGUUAGUUAUAACCAAAGCGAUGAGUUACCCCGGGUGUGAAUUAUAACCAAAGCGAUGAGUUACCCCGGGUGUUAAUUAUAACCAAAGCGAUGAGUUACCCCGGGUGUUAAUUAUAACCAAAGCGAUGAGUUACCCCGGGUGUGAAUGACUUUAUGAAUGGGUGACAUAAAGAAGUUAUGGCACAAGUCAUUGAAGUGUUGGUUUUAUUAUAUGAAAUUAUGCAUUUAUGGUAGAAAAGUAUUGUGGGCUUUCAUGAUGGAACAUUCCUAGCAAAAGGGUUCCUGGGAAAAGGUUUUUAGGUGGUCAGUCGGCCUUUGACUGGGGGGAGAGCAGGCUGGGCAGGUCACAGGUUGGCUAGAGUAGAGCCAUGCCUGAGUUUUUUAUAGAGGCAACGAGUUGUUGCUUGAAUAGUUUAUACUGAGAAUAUCUUUGAUUUAUUCAAGUCUUUAUGUCAGCGUCCUGUUUUGUUAUUUUCGGUACAAAGUUUAUUGACAAAUUCU